AAUGGGCGAAAGCCUGACGGAGCAACGCCGCGUGAGGGAUGAAGGCCUCUGGGCUGUAAACCUCUUUUAUCAAGGAAGAAGAUCUGACGGUACUUGAUGAAUAAGCCACGGCUAAUUCCGUGCCAGCAGCCGCGGUAAUACGGGAGUGGCAAGCGUUAUCCGGAAUUAUUGGGCGUAAAGCGUCCGCAGGCGGCCUUUCAAGUCUGCUGUUAAAAAGUGGAGCUUAACUCCAUCAUGGCAGUGGAAACUGUUGGGCUUGAGUGUGGUAGGGGCAGAGGGAAUUCCCGGUGUAGCGGUGAAAUGCGUAGAUAUCGGGAAGAACACCAGUGGCGAAGGCGCUCUGCUGGGCCAUCACUGACGCUCAUGGACGAAAGCCAGGGGAGCGAAAGGGAUU
rnacentral:rRNA from 1 species